rnacentral:rRNA from 1 species
UGUGUAGGCGGUUAGACAAGUCAGGUGUGAAAUCCCCGCGCUUAACGUGGGCCUUGCAUUUGAAACUAUGUAGCUAGAGUUCUGUAGAGGGGGGUAGAAUUCCAGGUGUAGCGGUGAAAUGCGUAGAGAUCUGGAGGAAUACCGAUUGCGAAGGCAGCCCCCUGGACAGUGACUGACGCUCAUAUGCGAAAGCGUGGGGAUCAAACAGGAUUAGAUACCCUGGUA